rnacentral:rRNA from 1 species
UGGGGAAUUUUGGACAAUGGGCGAAAGCCUGAUCCAGCAAUGCCGCGUGUGUGAAGAAGGCCUUCGGGUUGUAAAGCACUUUUGUCCGGAAAGAAAUCCUUGGCUCUAAUACAGUCGGGGGAUGACGGUACCGGAAGAAUAAGCACCGGCUAACUACGUGCCAGCAGCCGCGGUAAUACGUAGGGUGCAAGCGUUAAUCGGAAUUACUGGGCGUAAAGCGUGCGCAGGCGGUUUGCUAAGACCGACGUGAAAUCCCCGGGCUCAACCUGGGAACUGCAUUGGUGACUGGCAGGCUAGAGUAUGGCAGAGGGGGGUUAGAAUUCCACGUGUAGCAGUGAAAUGCGUAGAGAUGUGGAGGAAUACCGAUGGCGAAGGCAGCCCCCUGGGCCAAUACUGACGCUCAUGCACGAAAAGGCGUGGGGAGCAAACAGGAUUAGAUACCCUGGUAGUCCACGCCCUAAACGAUGUCAACUAGUUGUUGGGGAUUCAUUUCCUUAGUAACGUAGCUAACGCGUGAAGUUGACCGCCUGGGGAGUACGGUCGCAAGAUUAAAACUCAAAUGAAUUGACGGGGUCAUAGCUGUUUCCU